rnacentral:rRNA from 1 species
UGGGGGAAACCCUGAUGCAGCGACGCCGCGUGAAGGAAGAAGGCUUUGGGUCUGUAAACUUCUGUCUGAGGGAAGAAGAAAGUGACGGUACCUCAGGAGAAAGCCCCGGCUAACUACGUGCCAGCAGCCGCGGUAAUACGUAGGGGGCAAGCGUUAUCCGGAAUUAUUGGGCGUAAAGAGUACGUAGGCGGUUUGCUAAGCGCAAGGUGAAAGGCAGUGGCUUAACCAUUGUAAGCCUUGCGAACUGACAGACUUGAGUGCAGGAGAGGAAAGCGGAAUUCCUAGUGUAGCGGUGAAAUGCGUAGAUAUUAGGAGGAACACCGGUGGCGAAGGCGGCUUUCUGGACUGUAACUGACGCUGAGGUACGAAAGCGUGGGGAGCAAACAGGAUUAGAUACCCUGGUAGUCCACGCCGUAAACGAUGAGCACUAGGUGUCGGGAUCGUAGGAUUUCGGUGCCGCAGUUAACGCAUUAAGUACUCCGCCUGGGGAGUACGCACGCAAGUGUGAAACUCAAAGGAAUUGACGGGGACCCGCACAAGCAGCGGAGCAUGUGGUUUAAUUCGAAGCAACGCGAAGAACCUUACCAGGACUUGACAUCCCUCUGACAGAGCCUUAACCGGCUCCUUCUUCGGACAGAGGAGACAGGUGGUGCAUGGUUGUCGUCAGCUCGUGUCGUGAGAUGUUGGGUUAAGUCCCGCAACGAGCGCAACCCUUGUCAUUAGUUACUAACAUUCAGUUGAGGACUCUAAUGAGACUGCCGGGGACAACUCGGAGGAAGGUGGGGAUGACGUCAAAUCAUCAUGCCCCUUAUGUUCUGGGCUACACACGUGCUACAAUGGCCGGUACAAAGAGAAGCAAGACCGCGAGGUGGAGCGAAACUCAAAAACCGGUCCCAGUUCGGACUGCAGGCUGCAACUCGCCUGCACGAAGUUGGAGUUGCUAGUAAUCGCGGAUCAGAAUGCCGCGGUGAAUACGUUCCCGGGUCUUGUACACACCGCCCGUCACACCAUGGAAGUUGGGGGCGCCCGAAGUUGGUCGAGAAAUAGAUUACCUAAGGCGAAACCAAUGACUGGGGUGAAGUCGUAACAAGGUAGCCGUAUCGGAAGGUGCGGCUGGAUCA